rnacentral:rRNA from 1 species
AUUGAACGCUGGCGGCAGGCCUAACACAUGCAAGUCGAACGGUAGCACAGAGAGCUUGCUACUUUUGCCGGCGAGCGGCGGACGGGUGAGUAAUGCCUGGGAAAUUGCCCAGUCGAGGGGGAUAACAGUUGGAAACGACUGCUAAUACCGCAUACGCCCUACGGGGGAAAGCAGGGGACCUUCGGGCCUUGCGCGAUUGGAUAUGCCCAGGUGGGAUUAGCUAGUUGGUGAGGUAAUGGCUCACCAAGGCGACGAUCCCUAGCUGGUCUGAGAGGAUGAUCAGCCACACUGGAACUGAGACACGGUCCAGACUCCUACGGGAGGCAGCAGUGGGGAAUAUUGCACAAUGGGGGAAACCCUGAUGCAGCCAUGCCGCGUGUGUGAAGAAGGCCUUCGGGUUGUAAAGCACUUUCAGCGAGGAGGAAAGGCCAGUAGCUAAUAUCUGCUGGCUGUGACGUUACUCGCAGAAGAAGCACCGGCUAACUCCGUGCCAGCCGCCGCCGUAA